GAUGAAGAACGUAGCGAAAUGCGAUAAGUAGUGUGAAUUGCAGAAUUCAGUGAAUCAUCGAAUCUUUGAACGCACAUUGCGCCCCUUGGUAUUCCGGGGGGCAUGCCUGUCCGAGCGUCAUUACAACCCUCAAGCUCAGCUUGGUAUUGGGCCCCGCCGACCCGGCGGGCCCUAAAGUCAGUGGCGGUGCCGUCCGGCUCCGAGCGUAGUAAUUCUUCUCGCUCUGGAGGUCCGGUCGUGUGCUCGCCAGCAACCCCCAAUUUUUUUCAGGUUGACCUCGGAUCAGGUAGGGAUACCCGCUGAACUUAAGCAUAUCAAUAAGCGGAGGA
rnacentral:misc_RNA from 1 species